AGCGGUCCCCGUGCACAAGGAGCUGGCAUACUGAUACCACGUGACUACCCUGCAGGUCGGGGUGGGCGUGGUUCGUCCAUACAACCAGGUCCCGGACGUCGGUUGGAGGACCGUAAAGUUGAGGAGCGGUGGUCUCGGCAGGAGCGGUGGUCUCGGCAGGAGCGGUGGUCUCGACAGGAGCGGUGGUCUCGGCAGGAGCGGUGGUCUUGACAGGAGCCAUCCAGAAGACGCAAUCUCCCGAGUCAUCCCAGGCCAAGCAGGAAGCAUUGGGGAAGGGGGUCCAGGGG
rnacentral:lncRNA from 1 species